rnacentral:lncRNA from 1 species
UUGAACCAAGGAAUUUCAUGCUCAUGAUAUCUGAUAAGGAACAGAAUAACCUCAUAUCCCGUGUGCCAUAUGAUUUUACUGUUUAUAUAGGUGGGCCUUUUAGUUUAUGCAUUUAUUGGAACUUCUAUAUCCUAUUAUCCUGCCAUCAUAUGCUCUUGAUAAAGUUUUGUCAUCACUUUUUGUCAAUUUUAUGAAAAACGUUGCAGGCUAGUGGUUCAUUUCCUCUUCCCAUCACCAUCUCUGGCUGCUGUAGUUGUGACUUUGGUCAGUUGCAGUGCCAAGAAUAACUUUUACAUUUUGAUAAAUCAUGUUUUGCUUUCCCCUCUUAGAAGUAAAUAUUUUGCUUAUCAGAGCUUAAAUAUGAUGUAUUGUUUGUAAAUUUAGUGGUGGCUUGACUGAUUUUUGUGUGAAGUUAACGAUUUGAAAAAGAUUGUUAAGAUGAAAAGUUUUCUUUGUGUAUGAAUGUAUCUGAUGACUGAUUAGUGUAUGCAUAUAUUAUUUGCCAAUAUGAGUUGUGGAGUGGUGAGCAUAAAUGGGAAUGUAAAAACUAACAUCAAUCUCCUCUUCUCGUGCAAUAAAAAUAGUGAAACGUGGGCUGCAGGCUGCAUUGGCUAAUGAGUACACUCAUUGGCCUUUCACUUGUGUUUUUGGCUUCUGGAAGGUUGCUGCAGCAAAAACAAAUUUAAACUAUAUUGGGUUGCAGACAACUGAACAACAGGUUCAUUUGCAAGACGGUAAGGUUCUGAGUGUUUAAUUGUUCAUCUUUUGGAGUUUAUACUUUUAUCAAUACUCCCUUUUCUCCUAACAACUUACUUUUAGAGUACAUAGACAAAGUGUUUAUGCUUUUAUCAAUACUCCCCUUUCUCUGACCAACUUACUAUUACAGUACAUAGACGAUAGACUUUUAUUUUCAAUAUUUAUGUGGCUUCACUGUUAUUCAUUGGUAGCUUGGUAGAAUCCAUGUUAAAAUAACAUAAUUUAGAUGAGCAAUAAGGAUGGCAUAUGGAGCCGAAACUGUCACUCUUAUAUCUAUCCUGUAUCACAAGAGCAAGGCGGUAGAAGAAGUUAAUAGGUGUUGGGUCUACUCUUGCCAUUAACCUUGUAAAUGUGAAAAAAUAGCCUAUCCCAAAUGUAACGACCCCAAAAUAGGUCCAAUCCAACCAACCCAUUCUGAGUCGUCAACAACAUGGUACGGAAAAUAACUACAACUUUAUUACAACAAUUGUCGUACAAAAUACAAUAACACAUAUGCUGUGAGUUUGGAUACAAAUAUAUACCAACUGUAGCACGUCACAAUGACACCUUACAUAAAGGUAUAGUCAAAAACUGUUUUAGAAAUUAGAAUCUUUGGGAAGUGCUCAAGAAAACCUUCGUACAUGGGAGGCCAUGCUUUUAGGUUAUGGUAGAUAUCAUAUGGCCACAAAAUUAUCAUUGGUUGACUCAAUAGACCCCAAAGAAAAACGAGAAGAUUACUAUCAUAUUCUUCCCAAUGAUGAGUCUUCUCUUGACAUAUCAUUAUCUCCACUGUCUCUAAUUGGGAAAUUAAACUCCAAACAAACACCAAGAUUAUAUAGGUAGUGCUUGUAAAUAUACUCAGGAAGUGGAUCAGCACAACCCUGUCUUAUGAUGACACGAGGUUGUAUGUCAUUAGACAUCUUGUAUGAUAGUGGUAAAACACCCUUCCAAGUUAAAUUCACCUCACCCUCAACAUCUAUAGACCACCAUUCUAUUCCCUUGUUAUUCCCCCGCUCGACCCAGCUACACUUUUAUUACCUGAAAGGAAUUGUGAAGCAAAAGGGUGAGCACAACUAGCUCAGUAAAGAAUAUCAUGACUAAAGAUAAAUAAAUUAUCAAUAGCCUUCAACAGUAAUAAAUCAGAGAUUUAGAACAUAUGGUAGAUGAUAAAACUUUUCAACCAUAGUUGCAGCGGAACGAGCAAUCCAUUAGAAGAGUCAAAUAGACCAUAAAGUCUAUUAUCUUCUCCAUGUUAAAAGUCCACCAACAAUGUUUUAUCCCUGUAACAUCAAUCAACAAUUCCUGUCCACAAUCACAUGUAUAACUCAUAAUCGUAAUUGUUGUUCUAAAUUCCUUUUCUCAUUCAGGACGAAGAUAAUUUUCAUCACUUGUCUUUACCUGAAAUAUCAAAGAUCAUGGUUAUACCAAAUCACAGUUCCUGUUCAUAAUCAUACUAAUAAAUUCAUCUUUGCACUACGGGCCAAAGAUAUUCAUCAACAGUUCAUCUUUGCACUACAGGCCAAAGAUAUUCAUCAACAGUUCAUCUUUGCACUACAGGCCAAAGAUAUUCAACUACAGGUCAUCUUUGCACUACGACCCAAAGAUAUUCAUCAACAAUUCAUCUUUGCACUACAGGCCAAAGAUAUUCAUCAACAAGUCAUCUUUGCACUACAGGCCAAAGAUAUUCAUCAACAAGUCAUCUUUGCACUACAGGCCAAAGAUAUUUAUCAGUUGGUCAUGUUCAUCUAAACACUUGUUCAUCUUUGCACUACAGGCCAAAGAUAUUCAUCAAAAAUUAUUCAUCUUUGCACUACAGGCCAAAUAUAUUCAGUUAUAUCAUCAUUUAGGACUGAAGAUGAUGAAAAAUAUUUUAAAGAAAACGAAUCUAGUGAAACAAAAGAACAAAUAUUAAGGAUUCGUACUUUAAACAAUUCCCGUUUAAAAAUACUUCAUAAAUAACCAGAGUGGAGUAAAAUUCAAGAAUGAAGACCAAAACAUAGAUCUAAUCAAAGAUAGUAUCCAGAAUAGAUAUUUUGGACAAAAAGAAGAAAUUUUAUUUUUUCGGUGAAUAGUGCCGUAUUCGUGAAUAGUGCCGUAUACGUGAAUAGUAAUUCCGACACCAAAAGAUAGAAAUUUCACAAAAAAUAUCAUCACGUUUCGUGAAUAGUACUCGUGAAUAGUAACUCAUGAAUAGUAACCCCGACAUGAAAAAGUUUCAAAUUUGAUAAAAAAUUCCAACCAACAUUCUGGUAUAAUGAUAUUGAAGAAAUAAUAUCAUUUUAGAAGAAAAUAACCUCCCUUACCUUAGAAAGAAUAGUACUUCUGAUUGGAAUACUGAAUAUAGUGCUAAAAGAACUUGCACCGUAUAGCAAUACUCGAAGUACUAAAAUACUCACAAAAAUACGCUCGAUAUUAUAGAGAGAAAGAGAGAAAUUUGUAGUUUCUGGUGUGAUUUUCAAUUCUAACCUAAGCACCUUAUUUAUACGAAAAUGCUUAGAACACCAAAGCAGAAAAUUUAAUAAAAUAUAAUAUAUUUUUUUCUUAAACUUUCUACGCACCCAAUUAGUCCAAACAUCAGCCACACCUCAACCAAAACCAUAAAAAAAUGUUUUUUAUAUUUAAAACAAUUAAAACUUUCAAAAAUCAAUUAUUUCGGAACUUCGGAACUUCAAUAAUUCAUAAUAAAUAGCCCUUUUAUCAGAAAAUUCGAAUCUUGCGUGUUUUUAUAGAAAAUUCAAUUCUCUACAACUUUACAGAAGAAAGUUUUUCCAAAUUCCAAAUAGAAAUUGACCGAAAUUCAUAAACGGGCAAUUUUACAUGCUAUAAUCAAAUUUCAGUCAAGAAAUGAGUCCACCAACAUGUUUAACAUAUUUUUAGUAUUUAUUGCAACAAAAAUAUUUUUCCUCCUCAUAUACUCAUAUAUCCCACAUUCAUUGUAAAAAUAUCACCAUUAUUAUAUUAUUAAAAUAUAAUAAUAUAUUAAAAUGAAUUAUUUUAUCAAAAAAAGAUAAAAUAUUAAUUUUCAACAAUUGUCACAUUAAAAAUUUUCUCCAUCUAUAUCCACAUAAAAUCAAUAUUUUUCUCAUCAUUUAAAUCAAUAAUUAAUUAUUCACAAAUAAUAUUACAGAAUCACAAUAAUGACAACCAGGCCGUUCCCAGGAAAGAGGGGGCUUUCCAAUAAGAAUUCUCCUUAUUGGCGCGCAAUUAGGUGACCAAACCUCUCUUUAGACAGAAAUUUCUAGACAUUUUCAAUAAUGUUAUCUAAUAAUAUUAUUCAGAUAAUAUGAAUUAUUGCUCCGAUAAUAGAAAAUACUGUGUAGUGACAAUUAUUAAAACAACAGUAAUAUAAAAUAUCAACGCACCAAUUAUUGAAUCAAUAAAAUAAAAAUAUUGAACAGUAAUUACUGUAACAAUUAUUGAGUAGUGCCUUCUUACGUAAGAAUCAAUAAUUCAAAAAUACUGUGCAAUACCGUGUGCUACUGUGCAACAACGCGUAUUACUUUACUUUAACCACCGAGUAUUCCAACAGUGUUAACGGUAACGAUUACGCCGUUAUUUAUAAAAACUUUAAUUUGUCGUUUUCUUCAGCCGACAGUUAUUCUGUUAUGAGGCCCACAAAUGGUUGCCCCGUCGUACGAAUAUUCCCCGACAGAAAGAAUAUUCCACGACCAAACGAAUAUUCCCCGACAACAAUGAAUAUUUUUAUAACCACUUGUGUAUUUUGAAAAAAAUUCAUAUAUCACUCUUAACUUUAACCUUUUAUCAAUUUAACCAUUUACUGAAUAGUAAUUAUAAGAAAAAUUGAAUAUUUUUAUUUCAUAAAAUUCGGGGUCUUACAAUCUCCCCUCCUUAUGAAAAUUCGUCCCCGAAAUUUACGUACCUGGUAUUUCAAAAAGUUGAGAAUACCUUGCUUUCAUUUCAGAUUCUAUCUCCCGGGUCAUCAUGAUUUCUCCAUUGCUCAUCUCCCAUGAUAACUUCAUUUGAGUUCCUCAUUUGUUGGGAAGUCAUGACAACCGCUAUCCCUCGAACUACUCGGCUUUGACUUGUCUGGGGCAGCAUUUAGCGUCAUCACUACCGUUGGAAUAUAUUUUUCUAUAGGGCAUAUUCCUCCCUCAACUGCCUCGUCAUACUCCUGAUUCAUGAUCUGAAUCAUCAAUCUCCGAUCCAUAUCGAAUUCAGGUUGACCGCUCUAUACAGGGUAAUUCAAAACUCGAUGUUGGGUUCUCCCAAUUGCUUUUCAAAAAGAGAAAUUCAUAUAAUCUAUUUUAGCCUUCUUAGAUCGGAUAUCUCUUUCCACAAUAUCCACGUGUCGUGCAGCUUUUGCCCAUGCAUCACUUAUUCUUACUCAUUCAGUUUUUCCUUCUUUCAGCUCAGAUUCCAUCUUUAUCAUCUUAUACUCUGCCAAAGAAUGCUUCUGUUCAAGCAUCACAUAUCGGGUAACACAAACUUGAAUUGUUGCAUCCUUUUGCUCCACGACCGUCUGUCGUUCUUCAGCCUGCUCUUCUAACUCAUGAAUACGAUUUUGAAAUUCUACAUUUUGAUUAUAUAAUACCUCUAAUAAAGUCUCCUCAGGUACCUCUUCUUCCUCUUCUGCCUCACUCUCAGUUGUUACCUCUGCGACUAUCUCGGGUACAAUUAUCAAUUCUUCACUCACCACAUGGAUAUCUCUAAUUCCUUCUUCGUCUGACAUCACAUUAUCAUGGUUAGUUAUUAGAGGUAUCCCCACAGUCUUAUUCACUCCAUUGUUAGCAUUCUAAGCUGCCAUUCUCAAAUACUGCCAUAAAACAAGGCUUAAUUAAGCAAAUUAACAUAUCACAUAAUAUCCGUAUAUUAUGACUGUUGACACACUAGCGAAGGAUUUACUAAUCUCUCCCCUCCUAGUUAUAUUCCUCGAUCUCCGCCAAAUACCAUAUCCCUAAGCUCUGAUACCAAAUGUAACGACCCCAAAAUAGGUCUAAUCCAACCAACCCAUUCUGAGUCGUCAACAACAUGGUACGGAAAACAACUACAACUUUAUUACAAUAAUUGUCGUGCAAAAUAUAACAACACAUAUGCUGUGAGUUUGGAUACAAAUAUAUACCAACUAUAGCACGUCACAAUGACACCUUACAUAAAGGUAUAGUCAAAAACUGUUUUAGAAAUUAGAAUCUUUGGGAAGUGCUCAAGGAAACCUUCGUACAUGGGAGACCAUACUUUUAGGUUAUGGUAGAUAUCAUAUGACCACAAAAUUAUCAUUGGUUGACCCAAAAGACCCCAAAGAAAAACGAGAAGAUUACUAUCAUAUUCUUCCCAAUGAUGAGUCUUCUCUUGACAUAUCAUUAUCUCCACUGUCUCUAAUUGGGAAAUUAAACUCCAAACAAACACCAAGAUUAUAUAGGUAGUGCUUGUAAAUAUACUCAGCAAGUGGAUGAGCACAACCCUGUCUUAUGAUGACAUGAGGUUGUAUGUCAUUAGACAUCUUGUAUGAUAGUGGUAAAAUACCCUUCCAAGUUAAAUUCACCUCACCCUCAACAUCUAUAGACCACUGUUCUAUUCCCUUGUUAUCCCUCGCUCGACCCAGCUACACUUUUAUUACCUGAAAAGAAUUGUAAAGCAAAAGGGAAAGCACAACUAGCUCAGUAAAGAAUAUCAUGACUAAAGAUAAAUAAAUUAUCAAUAGCCUUCAACAGUAAUAAAUCAGAGAUUUAGAACAUAUGGUAGAUGAUAAAACUUUUCAACCAUAGUUGCAGCGGAAUGAGCAAUCCAUUAGAAGAGUCAAAUAGACUAUAAAGUCUAUUAUCUUCUCCAUGUUAAAAGUCCACCAACAAUGUUUUAUCCCUGUN